UGUUAAUGCCCGUAUGCAGGAGAGCUACAAAAACCUGUAUAAACCUCCGGAAUAAUAAGCUCCUUAGUGAGGGGGAAAGACUACAGUACACUAAAGAAGCUGUAGAAAUACGGUCACGCCGAUUUAAAACUUCGCUUCAACGUGGGGCGAUAUAUCAAGCUUAGAAAUUAAGAGUGUGUCGGAAAAGCAGCACUUCAUAAAAUAAGCUGCAUGUUUAAAACAGACCUUUGGCUUUUCUUUUCCCGCUGCUUAUCUUACAAUUUGCUACAAGCCCCGCAAAUUUCUCAGAAAUAGCACUUUCAGCAGAGGAAACAAAUGACCGUCAAAGGAAAGAUGACCAGCAUGAACAUGAAUGAACAGCAGCUCCCCCACUGGUGACGACAGGGGAUUUACCCUUACUACAUGCCUCCAGAGACCACAGCUUGGAGCCAGUAAGGUCCAGCGUUUCUCCAACUGUGGCCUGCCUCUCAGAACGGUUGUUUUUCUCAUCCUCCCCAAAGGUAAUGGUUGACUACAAACAGCUUGGUGGAACUUGACACAAAUCAGG